rnacentral:rRNA from 1 species
UACGGAAGGCAGCAGUGGGGAAUAUUGCACAAUGGGCGAAAGCCUGAUGCAGCUAUGCCGCGUGUAUGAAGAAGGCCUUAGGGUUGUAAAGUACUUUCAUCGGGGAGGAAAAACAAAACUAAUAAUUUUAUUUCUUGACGUUACCCGAAAAAGAAGCACCGGCUAACUCCGUGCCAGCAGCCGCGGUAAUACGGAGGGUGCUAGCGUUAAUCAGAAUUACUGGGCGUAAAGAGCACGUAGGUGGUUUUUUUAAAGUCAGAUGUGAAAUCCCUGGGCUUAACCUAGGAACUGCAUUUUGAAACUGAAAUACUAGAGUAUCGUAGAGGGAGGUAGAAUUCUAGGUGUAGCGGUGAAAUGCGUAGAUAUCUGGAGGAAUACCUGUGGCGAAAGCGGCCUCCUAAACGAAUACUGACACUGAGGUGCGAAAGCGUGGGGAGCAAACAGGGAUUAGAUA